rnacentral:rRNA from 1 species
UACGAAGGGGGCUAGCGUUGUUCGGAAUUGACUGGGCGUAAAGGGCGCGUGAGGCUGGUGUGUCAAGUCAGGCGUGAAAAGCCCCGGGCUCAACCUGGGAACCCGCGCUUGAGACUGGGCAACGCUCGAGUUCGGGGAGAGGGAUGGUGGAAUUCCCAGUGUAGAGGUGAAAUUCGUAGAUAUUGGGAAGAACACCGAUGGACGAAGGCAGCCAUCUGGACCGACACUGACGCUGAGGCGCGAAAGCGUGGGGAGCAAACAGG